GUGAGCCCCCGAUCUGCCUGCCGGAUGACAGGAGGCUGGUGCUGCUGGCUGGGGCCAGCAACAGCACCGAUAUUCCCAGCAUGGGCUGCCUCCAUCCAGAAGCACCAGCCUCCUGUCAUCUGGCAGGCAGAUCAGGGGCUCACC
rnacentral:pre_miRNA from 1 species